UUUUGGACUGAAGUGCAGGUUGCUCACAGC
rnacentral:piRNA from 1 species